rnacentral:rRNA from 1 species
ACGCACGCUGGCGGCGUGCUUAACACAUGCAAGUCGAACGGUGAAGCGCCUUCCUUUUUGGUGGGUGUGGAUGAGUGGCGAACGGGUGAGUAACACGUGAGUAACCUGCCCCCUUCUUCUGGAUAACCGCAUGAAAGUGUGGCUAAUACGGGAUAUUCUGGGUCUGUCGCAUGAUGGGUCUGGGAAAGAUAUUGUUUCGGUGGGGGAUGGGCUCGCGGCCUAUCAGCUUGUUGGUGGGGUGAUGGCCUACCAAGGCGGUGACGGGUAGCCGGCCUGAGAGGGUGGACGGUCACACUGGGACUGAGACACGGCCCAGACUCCUACGGGAGGCAGCAGUGGGGAAUAUUGCACAAUGGGCGCAAGCCUGAUGCAGCGACGCCGCGUGAGGGAUGGAGGCCUUCAGGUUGUGAACCUCUUUCGCCAGUGAAGCAGGCCUGCCUCGUUUGUGGGUGGGUUGACGGUAGCUGGAUAAGAAGCGCCGGCUAACUACGUG